rnacentral:rRNA from 1 species
GACGAACGCUGGCGGCGUGCUUAACACAUGCAAGUCGAACGGAAAGGCCCUGCGUUUGUGGGGUUCUCGAUUGGCGAACGGGUGAGUAACACGUGUGUAACCUGCCCUUCUCUUUGGGGUAACUUCAGGAAACUGGGGCUAAUACCGGAUAGGAUCUCCUGCUCCAUGGUGGGGGUUGGAAAGUUUCGGCGGUUGGGGAUGGACUCGCGGCUUAUCAGCUUGUUGGUGGGGUAGUGGCUGACCAAGGCUUUGACGGGUAGCCGGCCUGAGAGGGUGACCGGGCACAAUGGGACUGCGAGACGGACCAGACUCGUACGGGAGGCAACAGUGGGGAAUAUGGCACAGUGGGCGGGAGCGUGAUACAGCGACGCCGCGUGCGGGAUGACGUCCUUCGGGGUGUGAACAGCUUUCGCCUGUGACGAAGCGGGAGUGACGGUACUGGGUAAAGAAGCACCGGCUAACUACGUG